CACAAGCGGUGGAGCAUGUGGUUUAAUUCGACGCAACGCGAAGUAACCUUACCAGGGCUUGACAUCCCCUGACCGCGUAUGAAAGUACGUUUUCACCCUCGGGUGACAGGGAGACAGGUGGUGCAUGGUUGUCGUCAGCUCGUGUCGUGAGAUUGUUGGGUUAAGUCCCGCAACGAGCCGCAACCCCCUACGUUUAGUUGCUAACGCGUGAAGGCGAGCACUCUAGACGAACUGCCGUUGACAAAACGGAGGAAGGUGGGGAUGACGUCAAAUCAUCAUGCCCCUUAUGUUCUGGGCUACACACGUGCUACAAUGGCCGGUACAGACGGACGCAAAGCCGCGAGGUGGAGCAAAUCCUAAAAAGCCGGUCUCAGUUCGGAUUGCAGGCUGCAAUUCGCCUGCAUGAAGUCGGAAUCGCUAGUAAUCGCAGGUCAGCAUACUGCGGUGAAUACGUUCCCGGGCCUU
rnacentral:rRNA from 1 species